rnacentral:rRNA from 1 species
CGGUGUGCCUAAUACAUGCAAGUCGUACGCACUGGCCCAACUGAUUGAUGGUGCUUGCACCGGAUUGACGAUGGAUCACCAGUGAGUGGCGGACGGGUGAGUAACACGUAGGUAACCUGCCCCGGAGCGGGGGAUAACAUUUGGAAACAGAUGCUAAUACCGCAUAACAACAAAAGCCACAUGGCUUUCGUUUGAAAGAUGGCUUUGGCUAUCACUCUGGGAUGGACCUGCGGUGCAUUAGCUAGUUGGUAAGGUAACGGCUUACCAAGGCGAUGAUGCAUAGCCGAGUUGAGAGACUGAUCGGCCACAAUGGAACUGAGACACGGUCCAUACUCCUACGGGAGGCAGCAGUAGGGAAUCUUCCACAAUGGGCGCAAGCCUGAUGGAGCAACACCGCGUGAGUGAAGAAGGGUUUCGGCUCGUAAAACUCUGUUGUUGGAGAAGAACGUGCGUGAGAGUAACUGUUCACGCAGUGACGGUAUCCAACCAGAAAGUCACGGCUAACUACGUGCCAGCAGCCGCGGUAAUACGUAGGUGGCAAGCGUUAUCCGGAUUUAUUGGGCGUAAAGCGAGCGCAGGCGGUUGCUUAGGUCUGAUGUGAAAGCCUUCGGCUUAACCGAAGAAGUGCAUCGGAAACCGGGCGACUUGAGUGCAGAAGAGGACAGUGGAACUCCAUGUGUAGCGGUGGAAUGCGUAGAUAUAUGGAAGAACACCAGUGGCGAAGGCGGCUGUCUGGUCUGCAACUGACGCUGAGGCUCGAAAGCAUGGGUAGCGAACAGAAUUAGAUAUCCUGGUAGUCCAUGCCGUAAACGAUGACUAAUAGGUGUUGGAGGGUUUCCGCCCUUCAGUGCCGGAGCUAACGCAUUAAGCACUCCGCCUGGGGAGUACGACCGCAAGGUUGAAACUCAAAGGAAUUGACGGGGGCCCGCACAAGCGGUGGAGCAUGUGGUUUAAUUCGAAGCUACGCGAAGAACCUUACCAGGUCUUGACAUCUUGCGCUAACCUUAGAGGUAAGGCGUUCCCUUCGGGGACGCAAUGACAGGUGGUGCAUGGUCGUCGUCAGCUCGUGUCGUGAGAUGUUGGGUUAAGUCCCGCAACGAGCGCAACCCUUGUUACUAGUUGCCAGCAUUAAGUUGGGCACUCUAGUGAGACUACCGGUGACAAACUGGAGGAAGGUGGGGACGACGUCAGAUCAUCAUGCCCCUUAUGACCUGGGCUACACACGUGCUACAAUGGACGGUACAACGAGUCGCAAGCUCGCGAGAGUAAGCUAAUCUCUUAAAGCCGUUCUCAGUUCGGACUGUAGGCUGCAACUCGCCUACACGAAGUCGGAAUCGCUAGUAAUCGCGGAUCAGCAUGCCGCGGUGAAUACGUUCCCGGGCCUUGUACACACCGCCCGUCACACCAUGGGAGUUUGUAACGCCCAAAGUCGGUGGCCUAACCUUUAUGAGGGAGCCGCCUAAGGCGGGACAGAUGACUGGGGUGAA